GAGUUUGAUCCUGGCUCAGGACGAACGCUGGCGGCGUGCCUAACACAUGCAAGUCGAACGGAGUUGAAAGGAGCUUGCUUUUUUCAACUCAGUGGCGGACGGGUGAGUAACGCGUGAGUAACCUGCCUUUCAGAGGGGGAUAACGUUCUGAAAAGAACGCUAAUACCGCAUAAGAUUGUAGUUUCGCAUGGAGCAGCAAUCAAAGGAGCAAUCCGCUGAAAGAUGGACUCGCGUCCGAUUAGAUAGUUGGCGGGGUAACGGCCCACCAAGUCGACGAUCGGUAGCCGGACUGAGAGGUUGAUCGGCCACAUUGGGACUGAGACACGGCCCAGACUCCUACGGGAGGCAGCAGUGAGGGAUAUUGGGCAAUGGGGGAAACCCUGACCCAGCAACGCCGCGUGAGGGAUGACGGUUUUCGGAUUGUAAACCUCUGUCCUCUGUGAAGAUAGUGACGGUAGCAGAGGAGGAAGCUCCGGCUAACUACGUGCCAGCAGCCGCGGUAAUAC
rnacentral:rRNA from 1 species